UGCGGGGUGGAGCAGUCUGGUAGCUCGUCGGGCUCAUAACCCGAAGGUCACAGGUUCGAAUCCUGUCCCCGCGACCA
rnacentral:tRNA from 2 species